GCCAAGCCUUAGUCAGUUUCCCUCUGUCUUCAGUGCUGUGCAAACGCAUUUUCUUUUGAGUUAUGGAAUGGAAGUUUAUUUUCUUCAUUUGCCGUGUCCUUUUUCUCAUUUCUUUGUCUUCUGCCCAUUCAGCUUCAGAAACCAGGACCACUUCAAGGGGCAAUUCCACAACCUUUACUCUACCAGAGGAGGAAAACGUUGUGGUUGCAAUCUUGACGGAAAGAGCACCUAACUGGUCAUAUCUCAACUACAGAUUCUCUGUCCAUGGAGAGAAAUACACACAGAGAAGUUAGAUUACACAAACACUCCAUCACAGUGGAAGCCUCUCCUCUUUAUAUCCAAAGAGGUGAUACGUAGCUAUGUUUGGAACGAGUACUGGAUCCCAAAAGAAAACCUAGAACUAAAAGGACGACAAGUGGAAGUGUCAAGUUCGCAUCCUGUGAAGUGGCAGGUUCUCAGUCUGCCCCUGAACGACUAUGAUAGGACUGUGAUAUCUCCUGGUCAAGAAUCACCUAUCAACCUUCCGGAACAUAAUCAUGUAUGGAUAGCCCUUGGAACAAGAAGAAAUUUGAUACUACAGUUCGUUUCUCUUUGAUUUAUGAAUAUCCAACGCAAACAAAUUGAGCAUUGUGAAGUAACUGUCAAAGAUGACUGGUCGAUUUUGUCUAUAUCUGCACUCACCAUCUUUUAUGGAAAUAAUUGGUUUAUCAUUGUGGCACUCAACUACAAGUACGCAACUUGACGAUAAUUGCGACUCACCAACUACACCUUCAAGUGUUCCCGAUGCCCUUAGAGCCACAAGAAACAAGCAAAUUUCCUGCCACAAUUACAGGAAUGUAUACAGGAACAACUACAAACAAACCUCAAGUUCCUCCUACAGGAACAUCUACAGGCCCAUCUCCAGUCCAACCUGAAGAUUCAGCCACAGGGAUACCUGUAAGCACACUAAUCAUCAUCGGUGUCGUGGUGGCAGUGUGGUUGUCGUAGCUGCGUCUUUCCUUUGCUACAGGUGUUGCUUCAGGAAGCAGAACGACACAAGAGA